rnacentral:rRNA from 1 species
GAAGUCAAAUUGAUUUAGAGGUACAGGAUGAGUUCGCGUCUGAUUAGCUAGUUGGUGAGGUAACGGCUCACCAAGGCGACGAUCAGUAGCCGGCCUGAGAGGGUGAACGGCCACACUGGAACUGAGACACGGUCCAGACUCCUACGGGAGGCAGCAGUGGGGAAUAUUGCACAAUGGAGGAAACUCUGAUGCAGCGACGCCGCGUGAGUGAAGAAGGUCUUCGGAUCGUAAAACUCUGUCCUUGGUGACGAAAAAAAUGACGGUAGCCAAGGAGGAAGCCCCGGCUAACUACGUGCCAGCAGCCGCGGUAAUACGUAGGGGGCGAGCGUUGUCCGGAUUUACUGGGCGUAAAGGGUGAGUAGGCGGUAAUAUGUGUCAGAUGUAAAAGGCUAUGGCUUAACCAUAGUUGGCAUUUGAAACUGUAUUACUUGAGUGCAGGAGAGGUAAGUGGAAUUCCUAGUGUAGCGGUGAAAUGCGUAGAUAUUAGGAGGAACACCAGUGGCGAAGGCGACUUACUGGACUGUAACUGACGCUGAGUCACGAAAGCGUGGGUAGCAAACAGGAUUAGAUACCCUGGUAGUCCACGCUGUAAACGAUGAGUGCUAGGUGUUGGGUAGCGAUAUUCAGUGCCGAAGUAAACACAAUAAGCACUCCGCCUGGGGAGUACGGUCGCAAGACUGAAACUCAAAGGAAUUGACGGGGACCCGCACAAGCAGCGGAGCAUGUGGUUUAAUUCGAAGCAACGCGAAGAACCUUACCAAGG